AGAUGCCUCUGGCUGCAGAGACCUGAGGGCGAGAGGCGCUCCGAGCUCAGGCUGGUCCGGGAGGCCGGCGUGGGCGCGCACCUCUGCACAGUCCGGGCCUGGAGCCUCUAUAUAGGGCCUCAGAGGAAACCGAAAGGCCUCCGGGAGGAAACCUGGGUGCGCAGUGGGUCGGCCCGGGGAUUUAUGUGCUCGCCAAAAACAAUAGCGAUCCCGCCCGACUCUUGCUGGGCCCUGGCGCGGCUCCCGUGGGAGGGGGCCGGCCGCGCAGCCGCUGACCUCCGGCUCCCAAGCCGGGCCGCCGUCGCCGCGCGCUUCCCCCGGGCAGCGCCGGGACCCGCCCGAACCGCGCCCCCACCCGCAUCGCUCGGCCCGGGUCCAGGGAACUAGGCACAGACAAAGGUGCCCGCUGUCCACUUCCUCAGCUCGUGCGGGGGCCCCGACCGAGCCCUGGGACUCCCCGGGGCCAGUCUUCUCGCAGUAACUGCUACGUUUUACCUGUACCUUUGCGGGACACUUGGCGUUUUCCUACCUGGGAAUCACGUCUUUCGCUGAUAAACCAAGGAGCAAGUGGGAUAUGAUUUUAAACCACUUAGUAAUCGUGAGGCAGCACCCAGGCUACACAAAGUUAGGAGAAAGCAGUUUGUAGUUCCACUGCUGAUGAGACUAUUGAUCAUUUUAUAUACUGCACCCAUGAAAAAUUUUUAAAGAAAAUUUAUUUGUAUGAUUAUGCAAGCAGAGUCACGUUUGGUGGUUGAUAGGCGUUGGGUUUUAUUCACUCUUCUGUGUAGUCGAUAACCGAAAUGUCUUGCUUCCCACAAGAAAAUGGCUAUUUCACUAACAUAUCCCUCUGUGCUUUCUCAUAGUUACUUUCCAAAGAUAUUUUAUUCUAAAGCGCCAAAAUGAACAAUGUAAGACAUGGAUUAACGUCGGGAGG
rnacentral:lncRNA from 1 species